UAUAUCUAUAUUUACAUACAAAAGCAUUUUCUACGAUUGUCAAAUAUCAAGAGAGAUAUCUUUUGCUUAUUCAACAACAAUUCUCACGUUAACGUGCUCGGCGUUGGUUAUAUUUCAACCGAACUUCCGUUUGCGUCUGGAUUCUACGUUAAAAUGAACAAUGAAAUGCAUAAAUGAAUGUAUAAUACGAAAUUUGGAGAAUAUGUAGCGUAUAAUCCAUCUUACGUAUCCAUCAUCACGCGAUAUAUUUAUUAUUUCCUCGCGUUUCUUCCAUCAUUAUUAAAACACAAUCAAGAUUUUCUUUUCAAAUUUCUUUCGGAUUAAUUUCAACGGACAAUUUACAAAGCAUUCAUUAUGAUUUAGGGAGGAGAAGCUAGUAAAACGGAAGCUAGUCUCGGUUACCUCGUCCUGUUAUGAAUGUGUUAACGUAGAUGAGAUACUGAAUAGAGCUAUAAUCGGGUUCCAUUGAAACGAGCGACACAAACUUCAUCAACUAUUAGAAUUCCCAACACCAGUUUUGACUGCGGGAUAUCAAUAUUAAUAUCAGUAUUAACGAGCGAUAAUAAAUAAAUAAAGGAAAUAAUCGAACGAGCGAAUCUCCUUCGUACAUACGAAAACAAAAAUAAAGUCUUUAUUUCGAACAAUGUACGUAUACAAUGUCUUCUACCUAUUAUAUAUUUAUUAUUCUCGUGGAUAAUACUGGCAGAAUCGAAACGACUCUUGUAUCGGUCGGACGAUCUUGCGAGGUUUCCUCUUACGAAUUUUAAAAACCACGAACGAGUUUGCUUCAAAUCGCAAGUAUAAAUUUCUUCUUAUUUUUAUAUAAUGCGCGAUAAAAAUAAUAAAAAGGAGUAAUAAAAUAUAUUCAGACAGACUCGAGGUUUAAUCAAAAUAUCAAGAUGCCAAGAAGGUGCUCGAAUAAUUUCGUUGGUGCAAGCAUUAUCAAAGGAUCGUCCUUCCAACCACGACCGGAAGCCGAAGAAUUUUCUCUCUCGGCACAAUUCCGCCGAAAAAAUUUUCUCAACUUUAUCGAACUCGAUACGAAGUGAAAACAAUAUUCGAAUUCUUUCGAAUUCAUGCACGAAGCUCUACGUGGAGGCGCAAAUGUGGCAAAGACGUAACGCAUUGACGUUAAUCUAGCAGUUUUCAUUAAAAGCGGGCGUCGACUGUGCAUAAACUGGGACGAAAUAGCCCCGGUAACGAGGUUAAGGAUUAUCCACAGGCGACGUCGCCUGUUUCUCGUUUAUUCGCCGUUCGUUUCUCUCUCGCCGAUCCCGCGGAAUACGGGGAAAUAAAAUUUCGGGGGCUUUAAUUACCGGUGGGCGCAGCCACCACCCAAGUCCUCCUUCAGGGGUCCUUUUUUUUUCUUUUAUUCUCUUCGUCUCACUCGACCCCUUGGCUUGCCCGUUAUGACGAAAUUAUGCGCGGGAUGGGUUUUUUCCCCUCUUCGUGGUUUAAGCGAGGGUUAAACUGGAUUUUUGGCUCGCCGCGGUGUUGUUUAUUGGAUGAUCGGUAAAUGUGAUGAUAAAAUUAAGGAAUUCAAAAUAAUUAUUCGUUUGUGGAUAUUCAUUAUGAAUCAAUCAUGUGGAAAUAUUAGUUGAUUUUUGUUAUUUUUAAUUAUGUUGUUGGAUGAAAUGUUUUAAAAAUUGUAAUGUUUCAGAUGCAGAACGAUGUAUAGUUUUGGAAAUGGGUUAAAUUAAAGAUUUUACGAUCUAUUACACCAAUAGAAGGGUACAAGAGGAUUUUAAUUUUAAUAUGUAAUUUCGACGAAACGAGUGUUCAAUUUAACGCCCUCUUUAAAACGCCACGUUAAUUCAUAAUCACAACCACCAGAGACCCCUACUGGCGUGAAACGGAGGCUGUAUCGAUAGGGGAGGAGGAGGUCAAAUAAGAUGGGGGGGCGUAGAUUUUCGCGCACGUGCUUUUUCACGAAAUUUAAUCUCUGUUGGAGGUGGAUUGGAACGGCGCGAGGUCGAUCGUGUCUGAUUGUAUAUUCAUACGACACGGGCUGAAAAACACGCCUUCGGGGCGACAGUAACGAGAAACGCGACGUAAUCUGUCGCUUCGAGGCGAAGUAGACGCGGCCACGCCGUGAAAAAUUAUGGGAUACCGGAUAUCCGGUUGACACGGAUGGAAAAUGUCGAGUGUAUCGCGGUUGAUUUUCUUUUUUCUUUUUUUUUAAUAAGGCUUCGAUCGUGGUCGAGAGCGAAAUUGUGCAUAAUUUAAGGUUGUCAUUUUUUUAAUUACAAUAUCGUUUUUUUUUUUGCAAUUAUAAUGGUGGAACGAGAGAAUGGAGAGUAUGGAAUCGAUUGUAGAAGGAAGGAGAAUUUAUAGGAAUAGUUUAGUAAGAUUUAUUGCUUUUUGUUUUUGAUAAUUAUUUGGUCAUUGGGAAUAGAAUAGUUGGAUGAUGGAAUAUUAAGAUAGUUUAAGUAGAUUGGUCAAUGGUGAUUUUUCUUUUAAGUUUAAAGUCUGUUACGAUUCACAAAAUUUUCCAAAAGGUUAGAUCAGGUUAUCGAAUUCUUCGAGAAGGAAUUUCUUAGAAAUAUGAAUUUAUAUUGUAAAAUAAUAGGUAUAUUUUGAUUAUAGUACUUAUUAUCAUCUACUUUCGAUUCCGUUGAGUAGAGCUUAUGAUGUUUAUUCAGAUUUUUACGAACAUAAACGAAGAAAUGGAACGUGACAAGAAUUCAUUUCAUUCUCUAAAUAUUAUAUAUGAAUUUAUUUAGUAUAAUUUUGCAUAUUUUAUGCAUCCUGUAUAUUUUUGCAUAUUUAAGCUUACUAUAAAUGCAUUAUUGAUGAGGAAUAUUUCACGUCUAUUUAAAAGUCUGGCACAUAAAAUAUUAAAAAGAAGUCGAAUAAAUCGAUGCUCGUCAUCAAAAUCACGAUUCAUUUCGUCCACGAGAAAAACGUAACCGUAUUUCCGUCCAUUGCGAAAAAAAAACCUUCUUCAUCAUUUCGAACAAAAAAAAAAGAAAAAAAAAGAGAAUAAAAAGAAUUCUAAUUUUAUAAUCCCUCUUAAAACGAACGAGAUCGGUUAAACCAAAUUAGAAUUGGUAAACUUCUCGUUGUCUAAGCGUCGCGAACGAUCUUCUUUCGAAAGCGAGGGAAGAAAAAUGAUGGCGAAAAAAGCGUAGUCGAAGACAGAAGGAUAAAAGAAAGUGAAGGAGGCGAGCAAAGGGAGGGGGGAGGGAAAAAAGGAAUGGCUCGUACCUCGAACAGAAGAAGGGAUCUCGCGAGGGAGAAUUAUUUUUUAAUUCCGCCUGAGAGUACCGUGAUACUAAAUAAAAGAACGGGUUGUCUGCAGCUGGGCGGGAAACAUUUUUCCAGAAAUUGUGCCGCAAGUAAAAAUCAAGACCGUGAAAUAAGUCAAAGUAAUCUGAAAAAUAGAAGUGUGCCGUAAAUCAAUUUUUAAUUGAAAAUUGUCUCGCGGUUUUCCCGCUUUUCACGCUCGAAUACCUUUCUCUUCGAACUAAAUAUCAGGUGAGAAAUUAUUUUAUUCGUGGAAUUCGAUUUGAAUAUUAAUUAUAUCUUAUUUUUGCAUAUAGAAAAAGAUCAUCUAUUUUGAUUAUAUCAAUGAUAAAUUCAAUUUGUAAUGUUUCGAUCUCUAAUAAUUGUUCUUCAAUUUUUUGUUAGUUUCUUUCUCCGUCUUAAAAUUACGAUUAAAAUAUAAAAUAAAAAUAAACUUUCAUAUCUUCGAUAUAAUUCCAAUAUAGAAGGGAACUCGAAUUCAAAACUUUCCUAAUUAUUUCAAUUAUUACUCCAAAGUUAAAAUGAACGAUUCUCAAAAUUAUCAUUACCAUAAACCACAACGUCCCCAUCGAGAACAUGGUUCAAAAAAAAAAAAAAAAUGACACGUUAAAAUUGUGGAGGACCAUCGAGAUCGAGAAAGUGAGGAAUCGUGAUGGAGGAGGAUAUCGGAGAUGGAUGGAUCGAAAGGGGAAGCCCCGUGGAAAGAAACGCAUCUUUGCAUCGUGGAAAGACGAGCUUGUCCCAGGAGCGCGCUUCAACAAUCUGCAUUUUUCAGUCUUGAACUGGGCCAAGACGAUGGGAUGGCUGAUCGAAGCCAGGGAUGGGAGGAGAAAAUUCUAUAAAAAAUAAAAAAAAAAGGAAAAGAAGAAAAAACGAGGAGAAGGGGGAUAAUUUAUUCUCGAGUCGCUUUAAAUCAACGAUGAAAUCAGAGCCGAAAAACGUGUGAUAAUGAAGGAGGAUGGAAAAGAAAGGAGGAAGAAUGUCGACGGUGUUCGUUAAGGAGCGAAAUAUUUGGGUUGAAAAAAAAA